rnacentral:rRNA from 1 species
CCUACGGGUGGCAGCAGUGAGGAAUAUUGGUCAAUGGACGAGAGUCUGAACCAGCCAAGUAGCGUGAAGGAUGACUGCCCUAUGGGUUGUAAACUUCUUUUAUAUGGGAAUAAAAUGUUCCACGUGUGGGAUUUUGUAUGUACCAUAUGAAUAAGGAUCGGCUAACUCCGUGCCAGCAGCCGCGGUAAUACGGAGGAUCCGAGCGUUAUCCGGAUUUAUUGGGUUUAAAGGGAGCGUAGGUGGAUUGUUAAGUCAGUUGUGAAAGUUUGCGGCUCAACCGUAACAUUGCAGUUGAAACUGGCAGUCUUGAGUACAGUAUAGGUGGGCGGAAUUCGUGGUGUAGCGGUGAAAUGCUUAGAUAUCACGAAGAACUCCGAUUGCGAAGGCAGUUCACUGGACUGCAACUGACACUGAGGCUCGAAAGUGUGGGUAUCAAACAGGAUUAGAUACCCUGGUAGUC